UUGGUCAUGAAUUUGGCCUAUUCCAGACUUGAGUUUGCUUUCUGCUCCUGGCUCUUCCUUAGGAUGAAGAGGAUCUGGGGAGCACAUCCACAGCUAAUUCACAGUUUUUGGAUCAGCCAUGCAACAUAAGCCAGAAAUAGGACUUUGUUUUUGUGAGACAGUAUAACCUGGUAAAAGAUGACUAAUAUAUAGAGCUAAACAAUGAGAAGAAGCCAUUUUGAAAGGAUCAGGGGAAGUGUGUGUGUGUGUGUGUGUGUGUGAGAACUCACUCGGCACACUCAAGGAACUGAGAGAAAACCAGUGUGGGAGGCACAGAGUUAGAGAUGACAGGAGAAGUUGGAAACCAUGCGCGCUGAUGGAAAAAACUGGAAACGACUGGCUGUGUUUGGUUUGGACAACUCACUCAAAUGAGAGGGAGCCCAGCACGAGUUCUGCCUGAAUGAUGUUUGAAAAUCUGGCUCUUGGGUCUACCUUAACAGCUUACCUAUUUGAAUUUGACUGGAGUUCAGAUACAUAAACCAAAUUUCUUUGCUUUGGCUUCUCUUGAGUCAUAUCAAUCUACACCUCAUCAAGCGUAUGAAGUUUGGAAGAACAAAGAAGUGAUUGAGCAUCCUAAAACCAGCUGUUAAUUUUGGCCUUUGGGAAUGUCAACGAAAGGACUCAAAGUUGUUUGUUUAAUGACAUUUCGUUGGUACUUCCUGCGAUUAGUAGGAAUUUGAGUAAAAUUAUUAGUAUGAUGAAUUCUUUAAAAUGACAACUUUUAUUUAUAUUUAAAAUGUUAAAAUGCUAACUCUUAAAUUUAUGAUUUUUAAAAUUACACUUUUGUAAAAAGAAAACACCCAGAAAAGUAGACAUCAAUUAACAUUUCAGGAGAUUGACUUGUUUGAAUAUGAGAAAACCAAUUAUAUUUUCAUUGGUCAGUUAAAUAAUUUUUUCUGCAUUUGUCAAAUAAUAUUUCAAAACCCAGUUUAGCAGUGUGUAUUCAAAUGGAAAGAUUAACAGCUUGAAAAUUGCAUUUUCAUGAGGAAGGAGAAGUAGAGUUUAUUUUAUUUGAGUUAUAGCUUUUCAACCAAAUCUGGAAAUACUAUAUCUUUGUCUACCUCCACCAAGAACGGCAGAAAUUCUCUGGAGAGAAAAGCCGUGUGCAAAAUAUUCAUCUCUCAAAGGUAAGAGUGUUAGGAAUCGCGUUAUCCAAAUGAUCACCUCCACUCUCCACUUGCCCUUUGUAUGUAAAUGCCUUGGUGUGGUCAAAGCUCCUACUUGUGAACAUGUUUUAAGGUAUGUAUAUGGCUCUAGAGCAAAUUUUCUGUUCGUAAGAAGUAUCUGCGGAGCAUGAAAAGGACAAGUGUCCAGGGUUUGUCCCCAAAGACUUUGGCUCAGCUGGGUCCUAAAACUUGUAUUUUUAACAAGGCCUCAUAGUUAAGAAACUGUCCUAGACUGGAAGGGGACAGGAGAUCAUCCCACCCCACUCAUAGUACAAAUGGAGAUGCUGAGGCCAAGGCGGAAGUCAUCGCCAAAAUGCAGUUUUCAAAAAAUAUCUCAUUCAUUCAAACCAUAUUUAGGGGACACUUAUACUCAGUGCAACUAGGUGUUGGGAAUGCAAUGGCAAAUUGGCCGGGUUUGGGCUUUACCUAGCAGGAAGACAGGGUAACAGCAAAAGUAAGAUUAUGAGAACUGGGUUACGUCCCAGCUCACUGGUUCUUGACAUUAUAAUACACAGUGUUUGCCUUAAUCUGGGUAAUCAUUACAAUCUCAAUCAUUGAGAAAGACAUAACAUCACUAAAAUAAAAGAUGGCUUUUAAAUGUG